UACGUAGGGCGCAAGCGUUAUCCGGAAUUAUUGGGCGUAAAGAGCUCGUAGGUGGUUUGUCGCGUCUGCCGUGAAAGUCCGGGGCUCAACUCCGGAUCUGCGGUGGGUACGGGCAGACUAGAGUGAUGUAGGGGGAGACUGGAAUUCCUGGUGUAGCGGUGAAAUGCGCAGAUAUCAGGAGGAACACCGAUGGCGAAGGCAGGUCUCUGGGCAUUAACUGACGCUGAGGAGCGAAAGCAUGGGGAGCGAACAGG
rnacentral:rRNA from 1 species